GCUUCCCUAUGGCACUGGAUCCCCGCUUCCCCAUGGCAUUGGGUCCACAGUUUCCUGUGGCACCAGAUCCCCGGUUCCCCACCGCAUUGCCACCCCCGACAGCCUGUGGCAUCGGCUCCCCAGUUCCCCAUGGCAUCGGAUCACCAGUUCUCUGUGGUGCUGGAUCCUCAGUUCCGUACGGUGUCACCCCCCUGGUUCCCUGUGGUAUCGGAUCCCCGCUUCCCCCUGGCAUUGGAUCCCCAGUUCCCUUAUGGCAUCGAGUCCUUGGUUUCCUAUGGCCCUGGAUCCCCGGUUGCCUGUGGCACCAGAUCCCCGGUUCUCCAUGGCCUCGGACCCUCAGUUCCCCACAGCCUUGGGUCCCCGGUUCCUGGUGGCAUCAGAUCCCCAGUUCCCAGUGGCACUGGGUCCCUGGUUCCUCACGGCCUUGAUUCCCCAGUUCCUCAUGGCGUUGGAUCCCUGGUGCCCCACAGCCUCGGAUCCCCUGUGCCCCACGGCCUCAGCUCCCCAUUUCCCCACAGCCUUGGAUCCCUGGUUCCCCACGACCUUGGAUACCCAGUUCCUGAUGGCAUCAGAUCCCCCGGUUCCUGGUGGCAUUAGGUCCCCAGUUCCCCAUGGCCUCAGAUCCCCUGUGCCCCACAGCCUCAGGUCCCCAGUUCCCCACAGCCUUGGGUCCCCGGUUCCCCACGGCUUUGGAUCCCUGCUUCCCCACGGCUUUGGAUCCCUGCUUCCCCACGGCUUUGGAUCCCUGCUUCCCCACAGUGUUGGAUUCCCAGUUCCCUAUGGCCUCAGGUCCCCAGUUCCCCAUGGCAUUGGAUCCCUGUUUCCCCACAGCCUUGGAUCCUCGUUUCCCCACAACCUCAAAUCCCCGGUUCCUCACAUCCCCAGGUCCCUGGUGCCCCCUGGCUUUGGAUCCCCUGUUCCCCACGGCCUCGAGUCCCCAAUUCAUCAUGGUCUCGGAUCCCCAGUUCCUCACAUGUGUGGGUCCCUGGUUCCCCAUGGCGUCGGAUCCCAGGUUCCCUGUGGCCUCGGGUCCCCAGUUCCCCACAUCCUUGGGUCCCCAGAUCCCCACAUGCUUGGGUCCCCAGUGCCCCAUGGCCUCAGGUCCCCAAUUCCCGGUGGCAUCAGAUCCCUGGUUCCCAGUGGCCUUGGGUCCCCGGUUCCCCAUGGCUUUGGAUCCCCAGUUCCCUCUGGCGUUGGCCCCCCCAUUUCCCCACGGCCUCGCUCCCAGUUUCCCCACGGCGUUGGAUCCCCGCUUCCCGGUGGCGUCGGGUCCCCAGUUGGAGAUCUUGGAUCUCUUCUCCAGUCUGCUGCCCCGGACCCACAGCGUCCUCAGCCCCCCAAGCAGUGAGAUGGGGAAGCGGGGUGCGUGGGGGUGGGCUGUGCGCCAGGAGAGGCAGAGUCCCG
rnacentral:lncRNA from 1 species